AGAGUUUGAUCCUGGCUCAGAACGAACGCUGGCGGCGCGCCUAAUACAUGCAAGUCGAGCGAGAAGACGUAGCAAUACGUUUGUAAAGCGGCGAACGGGUGAGGAAUACAUGGGUAACCUACCCUCGAGUGGGGAAUAACUAGCCGAAAGGUUAGCUAAUACCGCGUACGCUCCUUGGACUUCGGUUCAGGGAGGAAAGCGAUACCGUGGGUAUCGCGCUCUUGGAUGGGCUCAUGUCCUAUCAGCUUGUUGGUGAGGUAACGGCUCACCAAGGCUUCGACGGGUAGCUGGUCUGAGAGGACGAUCAGCCACACUGGCACUGCGACACGGGCCAGACUCCUACGGGAGGCAGCAGUAAGGAAUAUUGCGCAAUGGGCGAAAGCCUGACGCAGCGACGCCGCGUGGGGGAUGAAGGUCUUCGGAUUGUAAACCCCUUUCGGGAGGGAAGAUGGAAUGGGGUAACCCAUUCGGACGGUACCUCCAGAAGCAG
rnacentral:rRNA from 1 species